rnacentral:rRNA from 1 species
UACGUAGGGGGCAAGCGUUGUCCGGAUUUAUUGGGCGUAAAGAGCGUGUAGGCGGCUUUACAGGUCCGUUGUGAAAACUCGAGGCUCAACCUCGAGACGCCGGUGGAAACCGUAAAGCUAGAGUCCGGAAGAGGAGAGUGGAAUUCCUGGUGUAGCGGUGAAAUGCGCAGAUAUCAGGAGGAACACCCAGUGGCGAAAGGCGGCU